UCUGCCCCUAGAGGGCUUUCAGGUGCAGCUGCUGUGUCACAUUUGAGUCAGUAGGUGGCAAAGAGGAGAGAAGCUAUGUCUAUGCUCAGUGUUGUGAACAUCUGAAUGAUAAGUAACCUAAAAAA
rnacentral:snoRNA from 1 species